AUUGAACGCUGGCGGCGUGCUUAACACAUGCAAGUCGAUCGGUAACGCGGGGGCAACCCUGGCGACGAGAGGCGGACGGGUGAGGAACGCUUGGGAAUCUGCCCUUCAGCGGGGGACAACCCGGGGAAACCCGGGCUAAUACCGCAUACGCUCCACGGAGGAAAGCCGGGGACCGCAAGGCCUGGCACUGAAGGAUGAGCCCAAGUCGGAUUAGCUAGUUGGCGGGGUAACGGCCCACCAAGGCGACGAUCCGUAGCUGGUCUGAGAGGACGAUCAGCCACACUGGGACUGAGACACGGCCCAGACUCCUACGGGAGGCAGCAGUGGGGAAUAUUGGACAAUGGGGGAAACCCUGAUCCAGCGACGCCGCGUGGGUGAAGAAGGCCUGCGGGUUGUAAAGCCCUUUCGGUAGGGACGAAAGCUCUCGACCUAACACGUCGGGAGGAUGACUUAACCUACAAAAGAAGCACCGGCUAACUCUGUGCCAGCAGCCGCUGUAAAAC
rnacentral:rRNA from 1 species